CUACCUCUUUGGAUGGCUUCCUGAGCACAUCUCCUACUCCGCCCCCACUCCGCAGCCCAUGACUCAGGACAGUGACAAUGCACAUCAGCAGCGUCUCGCACGUGUGCUCCUUAUCCUGUUCUGUUUCUUCCACAGGGACCAGCUCUGUCAGUGGGGCAAGUCAUGACACAGUUAAAACAUGAGGGGAACAGCGGUACUGUGAUUCUGAAAUGACGCUCCCGAAUGUUGUCUGAGCAGCCAGCAGGUGCCAGGAAGAACCAGAUGAAGGAAUCAAGAGUCAAAGACCUGUUUUACAAAGGGGCCACUCUGUUCUCACCCCUUAAUUCCCUGCUAACUUCUCAAGCCAGGUCAGGAUGGCCCUCCUUCUAUGUCCUGCCUAUGAACAGAGAAGUCUUUUGAGGUCUGAAACGAAAACUUGGAGUCACAUAUUCUAACAUAAGCACAUAGCCUACCACCGUCCAGGCAGGCAGGAUCCAUGCAUACUCACACCAGCAAAGAAUCAUCCUCAUGUCAUCCCCAGCGUCACCAGUACUAACCACAAUAGUGUUUUUUAACUUCCCCUGACAGACAUCACAGACUCUAAAUUCCCCGAAGGAAGUGUCUGGUGCCAGGAGGCCCUCACCAAAGGCUUGUUCAGUGACUACAACUCAUACCUGGGUCCCGACUCAACUCUCAGGCAGGACCAACAGGAAGCCUGAGCUUACUUUCUAUUAAAAGUGAUGCAAAGGAACACUGCAGGUCCCCUGCCUGAAUCGGAUUUCUUCAAGGGAAAGAGGAAGACAAUUUCCGUAUCAUGAGCAUCAUCCUACAAUUAGAUUAUCCCUGCAGUCAAAGAGACUCUACCACUUUUUGUCAUCUCUUGCUAUUGCAAGUUCUAUUUAGAGUGUCCCACGAGAUGGCUUGGUUAUAUAACACGAGCCAAUGUGGCUAAAAAUACAGUUCUGUAAAACACUCAUUAAAAAAAA